CUGUCUCUGGGAUGUUCGCCAGCCGGUCUGAUUCCCCUGAGCCGAUAUCAUCUCUUUAGGAUGGUGUUCUGCAUAUUUAGAGCGUAUGCCUACCCCGAGUAGGAAACCCAGCAAGUAUGCGUCACCUCCACCUUGAACUUUAGGGUUCAAGGGUAACGACAUGCAGCGGCAUCUUCGGAGCAUUU
rfam:Acinetobacter baumannii str. SDF, complete genome.